rnacentral:rRNA from 1 species
GAGAGCUUGCUCUCAAAGAUUAGCGGCGGACGGGUGAGUAACACGUGGGUAACCUGCCUGUAAGAUUGGGAUAACUCCGGGAAACCGGAGCUAAUACCGGAUAACAUUUUGAACCGCAUGGUUCGAAAUUGAAAGGUGGCUUUUGCUACCACUUACAGAUGGACCCGCGGCGCAUUAGCUAGUUGGUGAGGUAAUGGCUCACCAAGGCAACGAUGCGUAGCCGACCUGAGAGGGUGAUCGGCCACACUGGGACUGAGACACGGCCCAGACUCCUACGGGAGGCAGCAGUAGGGAAUCUUCCGCAAUGGACGAAAGUCUGACGGAGCAACGCCGCGUGAGUGAUGAAGGCCUUCGGGUCGUAAAGCUCUGUUGUUAGGGAAGAACAAGUACCGUUCAAAUAGGGCGGUACCAUGACGGUACCUAACCAGAAAGCCACGGCUAACUACGUGCCAGCAGCCGCGGUAAUACGUAGGUGGCAAGCGUUGUCCGGAAUUAUUGGGCGUAAAGGGCUCGCAGGCGGUUCCUUAAGUCUGAUGUGAAAGCCCACGGCUCAACCGUGGAGGGUCAUUGGAAACUGGGGAACUUGAGUACAGAAGAGGA